GGGGGUGUGCCUACCAGAUGGUUCGGGAGAGCGCUUGAAUGGCAUUCAAGAGGUCAGCGGUUCGAUCCCGCUUAUCUCCACCA
rnacentral:tRNA from 3 species